rnacentral:rRNA from 1 species
AGCGAACGCUGGCGGCAGGCCUAACACAUGCAAGUCGAACGAACUCUUCGGAGUUAGUGGCGGACGGGUGAGUAACACGUGGGAACGUGCCUUUUGGUUCGGAAUACCUCAGGGAAACUUGUGCUAAUACCGAAUGUGCCCUUCGGGGGAAAGAUUUAUCGCCAUUAGAGCGGCCCGCGUCUGAUUAGCUAGUUGGUGAGGUAACGGCUCACCAAGGCGACGAUCAGUAGCUGGUCUGAGAGGAUGACCAGCCACACUGGGACUGAGACACGGCCCAGACUCCUACGGGAGGCAGCAGUGGGGAAUCUUGCGCAAGGGGCGAAAGCCUGACGAAGCCAUGCCGCGUGAAUGAUGAAGGUCUUAGGAUUGUAAAAUUCUUUCACCGGGGACGAUAAUGACGGUACCCGGAGAAGAAGCCCCGGCUAACUUCGUG